ACAAUGGGCGGUACAAAGGGUCGCGAACCCGCGAGGGGGAGCCAAUCCCAAAAAGCCGCUCUCAGUUCGGAUUGCAGGCUGCAACUCGCCUGCAUGAAGCCGGAAUCGCUAGUAAUCGCGGAUCAGCAUGCCGCGGUGAAUACGUUCCCGGGCCUU
rnacentral:rRNA from 1 species